UUAGGUGUCCCCAACACCCAUUGGUGUCACCUUUAGGUGUCCCCAACACCCAGUGAUGUCACUGUCACCCAUGGGUGUCCCCAACCCCUUCAGGUGUCACCUUUGGGUGUCACCGUCACCCAUGGGUGUCCUCAACCCCUUCAGGUGUCACCUUUAGGUGUCCCCAACAGCCAGUGGUGUCACCAUCACCCAUGGGUGUCACCAAGACCUUCAGCUGUCACCUUCGAGUGUCCCCAACACCCAUUGGUGUCACCGUCACCCAUGAGUGCCCCCAACAGCCUGUGGUGUCACCGUCACCCAUGC
rnacentral:lncRNA from 1 species